UACGUAGGCGGCAAGCGUUGUCCGGAUUUACUGGGUGUAAAGGGCGCGUAGGCGGGAUGGCAAGUCAGAUGUGAAAUCUCUGGGCUCAACCCGGAGACUGCAUUUGAAACUGUCGUUCUUGAGUAUUUGAGAGGCAAGCGGAAUUCCUAGUGUAGCGGUGAAAUGUGUAGAUAUUAGGAGGAACACCAGUGGCGAAGGCGGCUUGCUGGACGACAACUGACGCUGAGGCGCGAAAGCGUGGGGAGCAAAC
rnacentral:rRNA from 1 species